rnacentral:misc_RNA from 1 species
GACGAACCGUGCGAACGUUAUUCGGAAUCACUGGGCUUAAAGCGCGUGUAGGCGGAUGGCCGCGUCGGCGUUGAAAUCCCCCGGCUCAACCGGGGGCGCGGCGCCGAAACGGGUCGUCUGGAGGGGUGUAGGGGGAGCUGGAACUUCCGGUGGAGCGGUGAAAUGCGUUGAGAUCGGAAGGAACGCCCGCGGCGAAAGCGAGCUCCUGGACACCCGCUGACGCUGAGACGCGAAAGCCAGGGGAGCGAACGGG